GGAUGUAGCUCAAUGGUAGAGCACUUGCCUAGCAUGCAUGAGGCCCUGGGUUUGAUCCUGGGCACUG
rnacentral:tRNA from 1 species